AGCCCCAGGCAAUGAUGCCUCCAAUUCUCUGCUGUUUCUACCUCAAGUUCAGUGAUUUUUUUAUGAAUGAGUGCUGCUCAGUUGGUUUUAAGACUUUGGUUCAUUUCCAGAGACAAAUUUUUAAGGGGAGAGGAUUUGGUGAGCUCACUCUAGAAGCUUGUGCCUAUAACAGCACUAUCCACUGUUGGUAAAUAAUGAAUAACUAAGUUUUGUGAAAAUUCUGGAACCAAAGUUAUAUAACUUCCCCCGAGGACAUCCAAGUAGUAAGUGAAGAACUGGGACAUGGACCAAAACUUUGUGAUUUCUGGUAUGAAUCAAGUCAGCAUUGAGAAAUGUCACUAUAAUUUCAAUUAUAAAAUUAUAAAAUAAAUACAAAAGAGUAAAAGCAAAGGGUGUCAGUUCUUCCUCAGUAAAUUUGGGGGGAAAAAAAGAACAA